UCUUGAACAGAACUCUCCUUUUGGCCAAAUAACGUAAAUAGGUGACAUACCUGAUUUGCAUAUUCUCUGAACUUGUCGGCUAUUUUGUGGCAGAUUCAACCAAAGAGAAAAGUCAAGAUGCCUUUAGUACAGAAUACAUGUAGAAUGCUGUUUACAGCAUUGAUGUUUCUUUGUCCCAUUAUAAUAAUGUUUAUCUACAUUUUAAAUAUGAAAUUAGACUUAAGAGAUUUAGAAAUUAAAUAUUUGACUACUGUGUCGCAGCUACCUGACACCAUACCUGGACUCGUAGAGAAUACAGCAGAAAACUACAUGAUUAGUAUCUUUGACAAUUUAUUAAUGGUUGUACUAUCAGUUUGUAUUUUUACGAUAGUUACAUGUAUAGAAUUCGCUGAGAAAAGGAGAGGUGUCGUGGCACAACAAGGACAUCAUUUUGCAGAGACUCAGUUAUCAAUGGUCAAUGGUGCCAUAGAACAGCUGACACUUCAAUAUGACGCGGAAAGAAACCCCACUAAUUCAAAAGUACUGUCCAAUGAUGAAGACUCUGGAUUGGGGUUAACGAGCAUACCACUGCCUUCUGAUAGUUUUACAGACCUAGAUCUGGCGAUGAGGCAAAUGAACUGUCUCCCUACUACUGAAUGUACAGAAUCGCAUCCUUUUGAUACCUACUUAGAGUGCUAUAGGAAGUCAAAUGACACAGCCGUACAUCUUGGAUGCUGUUAAAAUGUAAAAGGGUUAAUUGAAUAUAUUUGGUAUUUUUUGCUAAGAAAGAUGUUUUGUGAAUAAAUUAAUGUAUGUCUAUUUAUUUUCAACAGUGUGAGGGUGGAUAAAACCCCCCAGCUUUUAUGGUUAUGAUUAUGAACUGUUAUAAAUUGAGUGUUAAACAUAAAAUGAGUGUUAAACAUAAUAAUAUUAAUGCCAAAUUUGUGAAUGACUUGGGUACCAAUCUGGACCUUAUGACAUAGUUUUUGUUCCAAUAAGAAAUAAUAUUAUCUUCCCCCACCCCAACCAACCAGGGGGAGUGAGUUCAGGCACAAAUAAAUUACAAUAAUGUAAUCUGAGUUGAUCUUGUGACCGCGGCAGUCUUGCAAGAUUUCAUUUUGAGCGUAUAUGCCAGUGAAAGACCACAUGUAAACAUUUGAUAGAGAAUUCAAUUGCCCCCCCUCCCCCUCUCCUUAGCCUGCUCCACCAAACUUAUUGAUGCUCUAUUUUUAGAUUGUACCGCUUUAUGUUUAUUCUUAUUGGUUUUUAUGUUUAUGUUUGCUUUAUGUUUACACACAGUCGGUGGUCUAGGGUGUGUAUCAAAAAAUAAUAUAAGUGGUUCAAAAAGGGCCUAAAUUUUUGAAAAAGUAUUAAAUUACUGAAAAUGCUCUUCUAUUUUCCUUUUUUUUUAAAACUUUUAAAUGGAUGUUUCUGAAACUUCUGGUACAGGUAGUUAAGUAUCCAAAUCACUUGUUAAAACUAUUUCCAAAACCGGAAGUUGUCAGGAAAAAAAAAACGUAAAAAAGUUACCUUAAAAAAGAGUGAUUUCUAUGCUAGAUGUUUAUGGAUCAAACCAACUAAAGUGUCAUUGGAUAGCCUGAAUAAUGGACUAUUAUAUGACAUUGGAUGGUUAGUCAAUAGAUUAUGGGAUGCUGAAAAUGUAGUAUUUUCCUUUAUGGAGCCUUUUCAGAUGCUUUUAUCUUGAAAACUACUUUUAUUUCUUUCCCUAAACUUCUGUUACUCAGAUUCCUAUCUGUCGUCUAGUGUGUGAAUCCAAAUGUAAAAGCCUCGCACUGAUAUAAAGGGUCCAAAUAGGGUCUCAAACUUUGAACCAGCGCCUGCCAGGUACGAUACCCCCACAUUUUGCAAGAGAUGGAUAGAGAACAAGCUAAAAACAAACGGGAUGUUUUGUACAAUCAGGGGCAAUAAUCCAGAAAGUCAUGGUUUGAAAUGUGCAAAUAUCAAAAGGGACUGAGAUAUUUGGGAUAGGGUCCACAACCUUGAUAUACCAUUUUCUUACGCUAUUUGAGAACGAACGGCGGCCAUUUUGUCUGUCAAUUUUGGGCCGAUUUUCACGAAAUUCAAAUUCAAUCGUCCCUAGGGUGUAACGGUGAUAUAAUAAUACGUUUUUUUAAAUCGGGUAAAAAUUAUGACUUCUAUAGGGUCCACAACCUAAAAUCGAAUAUCGAAAGGAACCGAGAUCUUUGGGUUAUAAACUUACAUUUCAAGUUUAAACAAAAUCGGAUAAAAAUUGUGACCCCUAUAGGGUCCACAACCUUGAUAUACCAUAUUUUUACGCUAUUUGGGAACGAACGGCGGCCAUUUUGUCUGUCAAUUUUGGGCCGAUUUUCACGAAAUUCGAACUCAUUCAUCCUUAGGGUGUAACGGUGAUAUAAUAGAACGUUUUCUUAAAUCGGAUAAAAAUUAUGACUUCUAUAGGGUCCACAAGCUAAAAACGUGAUUUUUCGUACAAUCAGGGGCCAUAAUUCAGGAAGUUACUGUCCGAUAUGCGCAAAUAUCGAAAGGAACUGAGAUCUUUGGGUUAUAAACUUACAUUUCAAGUUUCAACAAAAUCGGAUAAAAAUUGUGACCUCUAUAGGGUCCACAAACUAAAAACGUGAUUUUUCGUACAAACAGGGGCCAUAAUCCAUGAAGUUUCGAUCCGAUACAUGCCAAUAUCGAAAGCAGCCGAGAUCUUUUGGGGAUAAACCUAUAUUUCAAGUUUCGUCGAAAUCGGUUAAGAAUUGUGACCUGUAGAGAGACGGACGGACGGACGGACGUCCGGACGGACAGGGGCGACGGCAUAAUACGUCCACAUGAAAAUGUGGGCGUAUAAAAAUUGUGACCUCUAUAGGGUCCACAACGAACGGCGGCCAUUUUGUCUGUCAGUUUUAGGCCGAUUUUCACGAAAUUCGAACUCAGCCGUCCUUAGGGUUUAACGGUGAUAUAAUAAUACGUUUUUUUUAAAUCAGAUAAAAAUUAUGACCUCUAUAGGGUCCACAAGCUAAAAACGCGAUUUUUCGUACAAUCAGGGGCCAUAAUUCAGGAAGUUACGUUCCGAUAUGCGCGAAUAUCGAAAGGAACCGAGAUCUUUGGGUUAUAAUCAUACAUUUCAAGUUUAAACUAAAUCGGAUAAAAAUUGUGACCUCUACAGUGUUCACAAGCUAAAAACGUGAAUUUUCGUACAAUCAGGGGCCAUAAUCCAUGAAGUUACAGUCCGAUAGAUGCCAGUAUCGAAAGGAACCAAGAUCUUAGGGUGAUAAACCUAUAUUGCAAGUUUAAUUGAAAUCGGAUUAAAAUUGUGAUCUGUAGACUGUUCACAAACAAUUGUAGACAGACGUCCGGAUGGACAGACGGACAGGGGCGACGACAAUAUACGUCCACAUGAAAAUGUGGGCGUAUAAAAAGGGCCUCAAACUUUGAAAAAAAGUCGAAAAAUCGUUAAAUUAUUUAAAAUGCUCUUUAAUUUUCUUUUUGUUUUAAACUAAUCAAUGGAUGUUUCUGAAACUUCUGAUACAGGAAGUUAAGUAUCCAGACCACUUGUUAAAGCUAUCCCGACAAUGAUCUGUAAACCAGAAGUAGUUAAAACAAUAUCCGAUAUUUUUUGGGAAAAAAAAAGGGUACUUUUCGUCCUGUUUGAUUCCAGAAAGCCAGUUCAGUGCUGCUUACAAGUCUAGUUCUUAACGGUUUUUAAAUUAUAUUGUCAUAAUCAUGUUUAUCAUUAUUGAAUCUUAAUUAAAUUGUAUUGCUUAUGUUUAGAUACUGACGUUGGGCCAUAUUUUGUCACCUUGCUAAGUCCAACAUCAGGUUUUUGAAGUACUUUGUGUACAGUCAUUUAUUAUGUUUUAGUUAGAUUAAGUAAACUAAAUGACAUAUUGAAAUACUUUUUGUACAGUCUUUUAUCAUGUUUUAGUUACAUUAAUAAAUGACAUCUUCCUCCAACCAA